AAACAUUUCUUACAGAUAUUCUUGUAAGUACCACCUGCUCAAUGAACAUUAAAUAGCCGCGGAAUUUUAACCGUGCUAAGGUAGCAUAAUCACUAGCCUCUUAAUUAGAGGCUCGCAUGAAAGGUGAAACCCUUCAUAUACUUUAUUGAACGAAUUGCUCAAAGUUGAACUAAGAAUAAAAAUGUUCUUAUAACUUAAAUAGACGAUAAGACCCUUUUGAACUUUACUUUAGUUUAGCUGGGGCAGCUAAGAAAUAAUCAUCUUUGUGACAAACUUUUAAUCAAUGACCCAAUAAAAUUGAUUACCUGACCAACGUUACCAUAGGGAUAACAGCGUAAUAUAUUUUUAAAGCUCUUAUUUAAAAAUAAGCUUGCGACCUCGAUGUUGAAUUAGUGUUACUUUAACGGUGCAGUAACUAUAUAAAGUAGGUCUGUUCGACCUUUAAAACACUACAUGAU
rnacentral:rRNA from 1 species